rnacentral:tRNA from 1 species
CGGGGCGUGGUGUAACGGCAACAUGCCCGCUUUGGGAGCGGGUGACUCCCGGUUCAAAUCCGGGCGCCCCGA